rnacentral:tRNA from 1 species
GCCCCUGUGGCGGAACUGGUAGACGCGACGGAUUCAAAAUCCGUUUCCUCACGGAGUGCCAGUUCGAGUCUGGCCAGGGGCACCA